AGAUUAAGCCAUGCAUGUCUCAGUGCAAGCCGUCUAGUACGGUGAAACCGCGAAAGGCUCAUUAAAUCAGUUAUGGUUCCUUAGAUCGUACCCACGUUACUUGGAUAACUGUGGUAAUUCUAGAGCUAAUACAUGCCGACAGAGUUCCGACCAACUGUACGGAUUUGGCGGCAGUUUCGGCUGUCGUCGCCGUACGGUUCGGAAGGAACGCUUUUAUUAGAUCAAAACCGGCUAAACGGCGGUUUCGCUUUCGGGCGUCUCCGUCGUAAGCGGCCCGCGCAAAGAUUUGGUGACUCUGAAUAACUUCGAGCUGAUCGCACGGUCUUUGUACCGGCGACGUAUCUUUCAAAUGUCUGCCUUAUCAACUGUCGACGGUAGGUUCGACGCCUACCGUGGUGGUAACGGGUAACGGGGAAUCAGGGUUCGAUUCCGGAGAGGGAGCCUGAGAAACGGCUACCACAUCCAAGGAAGGCAGCAGGCGCGCAAAUUACCCACUCCCAGCUCGGGGAGGUAGUGACGAAAAAUAACGAUACGGGACUCAUUCGAGGCCCCGUAAUCGGAAUGAGUACACUUUAAAACCUUGGUCACACGAGGAUCAAUUGGAGGGCAAGUCUGGUGCCAGCAGCCGCGGUAAUUCCAGCUCCAAUAGCGUAUAUUAAAGUUGUUGCGGUUAAAAAGCUCGUAGUCGGAUCUGUGUCCUCGCGGCGUCGGACCACUGAGCGUUCGUCGGGCUUCGCUUCGCGCGUACCCGCGGACCAAGUGAUUGUUCCCGGCGUGUCAGCGGGACGUCCUGCCGGCGGGCGGACACGUGCUCGGUCAGCAUCGACCGCGUCUUAACGACGUCGCGUCGGUGCGCGAGUGGCGGCCGCCGUUUAAAUCCUGUUCGUACGUGUUCCGCGGUCAAUCCGUGUGUUCGCGUGCGGCGGGCCGGCACGUUUACUUUGAACAAAUUAGAGUGCUCAAAGCAGGCUCGUAAGUGGCGGGGCGUGCGCGUCAAAACGUACGUCUCGUCGUAUAGCCCUGAAUAUGGUCGCAUGGAAUAAUGGAACAAGACCUCGGUCCCGCCUCUACGCUGCUCGCAGCGCGUGAAGACAGCCCUCGCGGCGCUUCCGUGCGCGGGUCGCCGGGCGGGGUCCCGCGUUCGCGUCCGUCUACGCGGCUGUUCGCAGUUCGCUAGCGCGGGUUACGCAUCGUCGGUGAUCAACCCCGUCCGUUGGCCGGUUUUCGGGACCGGAGGUAAUGAUCAACAGAGACAGGCGUGGGCAUUCGUACCGCGACGUUAGAGGUGAAAUUCUUGGAUCGUCGCGAGACGAACCGAAGCGAAAGCAUUUGCCAAGUAUGUUCUCGUCUGAUCAAGAACGAAAGUUAGAGGUUCGAAGGCGAUCAGAUACCGCCCUAGUUCUAACCGUAAACGAUGCCAGCUAGCGAUCCGCCGGUGUUCCUCCGAUGACCCGGCGGGCAGCUUCCGGGAAACCGAAGCUUUUCGGUUCCGGGGGAAGUAUGGUUGCAAAGCUGAAACUUAAAGGAAUUGACGGAAGGGCACCACCAGGAGUGGAGCCUGCGGCUUAAUUUGACACAACACGGGAAACCUCACCAGGCCCGGACACCGGAAAGAUUGACAGAUUGAGAGCUCUUUCUUGAUUCGGUGGGUGGUGGUGCAUGGCCGUUCUUAGUUGGUGGAGCGAUCUGUCUGGUUAAUUCCGAUAACGAACGAGACUCUGUCCUGCUAACUAGGCGGGUCUUUCGCCGCCCGCGGGUCAGCGUGCGACGGUUCACGCCGUUGUACCUGCCGCGGUCCACGGCGAAACGGUAUCCCCGAACGCGGUUGGCCGUCGUCAGCGGCGUUGGCGCUGUUGUCGUUGCUCGUCGGCAGUUUGGCUCUCGGGUCGGGCUGUCGGAGGGUGGCGCGGCGGUUUCCAGCGUCGCCCGGCGGUUUUUCGCCGCCAAUAGGGCUACCGCCGGCUGAUAAAGCUUAAACUCUUCUUAGAGGGACAGGCGGCGGACAACAAUAGCCGCACGAGACUGAGCGAUAACAGGUCUGUGAUGCCCUUAGAUGUUCUGGGCCGCACGCGCGCUACACUGAAGGAAUCAGCGUGUAAUUCGUUCCCGGGCCGAGAGGCUCUACCGGGUAACCCGCUGAACCUCCUUCGUGCUAGGGAUCGGGGCUUGCAAUUGUUCCCCGUGAACGAGGAAUUCCCAGUAAGCGCGAGUCAUCAGCUCGCGUUGAUUACGUCCCUGCCCUUUGUACACACCGCCCGUCGCUACUACCGAUUGAACGACCGCAGUGAGGUCUUCGGACCGAGGUACGGCGGCGUUCCGCGCCGAUUUGUACAUUCGGGAAGAUGACCGAACUCGGCCGUUUAGAGGAAGUAAAAGUCAGUGCAAGCCGCAUUAAGGUGAAACCGCGAAAG
rnacentral:rRNA from 1 species